GGGCCUUUUAGGGUUAAAACAGUUUUUUAUUUGGGUUUUUAUUUGAUUAGUUAUAGACAAUUUUAUAUUCAGGGGCAUAGUUGUAAUUUCAGCAAUUCUAGUAAGGUUAUUUUGGUAAUUUCAUUGAGUCUAGAGUCUUCUAGGAGAUGUAAGAGCCUGUUUGGUUCUCCUGAAACCUUGUUUUCAGUUUUCAUUUCCUGUGGGCCCCACCACCUAACACACAUUCGGUUUCAUUUUUUGUUCUGUGUUUUCAAGAAGAAGAUCCAAAAAUACAUGUUUGAGAACAGAAAAUGAAAACAAAUUAUUGGUGUUAAAAACCUCUCCCUCCC